AACGAACGCUGGCGGCAUGCCUAACACAUGCAAGUCGAACGAGACCUUCGGGUCUAGUGGCGCACGGGUGCGUCACGCGUGGGAACCUGCCCUUAGGUUCGGAAUAACUCCCCGAAAGGGGUGCUAAUACCGGAUCAUGUCUUCGGACCAAAGAUUUAUCGCCUUUGGAUGGGCCCGCGUUGGAUUAGCUCGUUGGUAGGGUAAAAGCCUACCAAGGCGACGAUCCAUAGCUGGUUUGAGAGGAUGAUCAGCCACACUGGGACUGAGACACGGCCCAGACUCCUACGGGAGGCAGCAGUGGGGAAUAUUGGACAAUGGGCGAAAGCCUGAUCCAGCAAUGCCGCGUGAGUGAUGAAGGCCUGAGGGUUGUAAAGCUCUUGUACCCGGGGUGAUAAUGACAGUACCGGGAGAAUAAGCCCCGGCUAACUCCGUG
rnacentral:rRNA from 1 species